rnacentral:rRNA from 1 species
UGGGGAAUUUUGGACAAUGGGCGAAAGCCUGAUCCAGCAAUGCCGCGUGUGUGAAGAAGGCCUUCGGGUUGUAAAGCACUUUUGUCCGGAAAGAAAUCCUUGGCUCUAAUACAGUCGGGGGAUGACGGUACCGGAAGAAUAAGCACCGGCUAACUACGUGCCAGCAGCCGCGGUAAUACGUAGGGUGCAAGCGUUAAUCGGAAUUACUGGGCGUAAAGCGUGCGCAGGCGGUUUGCUAAGACCGAUGUGAAAUCCCCGGGCUCAACCUGGGAACUGCAUUGGUGACUGGCAGGCUAGAGUAUGGCAGAGGGGGGUAGAAUUCCACGUNUAGCAGUGAAAUGCGUAGAGAUGUGGAGGAAUACCGAUGGCGAAGGCAGCCCCCUGGGCCAAUACUGACGCUCAUGCACGAAAGCGUGGGGGAGCAAACAGGAUUAGAUACCCUGGUAGUCCACGCCCUAAACGAUGUCAACUAGUUGUUGGGGACUUCAUUUCCUUAGUAACGUAGCUAACGCGUGAAGUUGACC